UGCCCUGCGCCAUUCACCUGCACGAUCGAGACAGGGAAACUAUUGGAAGAGGAGGCAAACACAGCAGGCGCCAAGGAAUGGUCAUUCUUAUCCAGGAAUUCUGUAAAGUCAGAGAUCGCCAAGGCUGAAGGGACCUGGCACACACUGUUCCCUGAGACGGCACGCCUUCCACACCAAUUGGUGGGGACAGCAGGACAGAUUCAAAGCCUGUGCAAAUUUCAUGGCUACACAAAUUCCUUCAUGUGUCUAAAGAAAGCAACAGAAAUUUAACCCAGUUAGAAGACAUACAAUUUUGAAGGUCAAAUUGGUAAGCUGCCUCAAAAGGAGGGAAGAGCCGAUUUCAAGAACAUUCUGCCAGCUGAGGCCCUGAGGAGAGCCUACCUUGCCAGCAGCAAACAAGUGACAGCCCUUCACGGCUUCAAAAACGUUGGGUGAGAUGUCAGGCUGGGCGGGAAGGUGAGCCUGCGCCAGGGACUGCUUCACUUUCUUCACGUCAACAAGGCACAGAGCUCGCUCUUCUCCUGAAGGGAAAAGGAAGAGCUUCACGGUCAGUGUGAGGCAGGGAAGCAAAGGUGCAGGAUGGCAGUUCUACUUCUCUUCACAAACAUCCACGCGGGGCCAUGCAGGUCAACAGAGUUUCCCAGACACUCCUGUGUACACAGCUUAGGUCCAAGUUUCAGAUCUAAAAUGAAAACAUCUGGCCUCUUGGUCAAGAUCCUGGGAUGAAAAAAAAAAUUCUGCCGACAUAAUCAGAGAAUGUGAACUAUACUUUCAAACACAAUCCCCAUCAAAGUGAAGAUGAGGAUGGGUUAGGAACACGGAGGGGACAUUUUAUGAAAUGACAGGCUCGGACCGUUCCGAUAGGUCAGUGUCAUGGAGGACCAAAGGAAGGCCAAGGAUGCAUUCCAGAUUAAAGGAGACUAAUGGAACACUACUAAAUGUAGUGCACAAUCUGGGACUGGAUCACAAAUCAGGGGGGAAAAUACCAGAAAGGAUGUUAUUGGAGCCGCAGGUAAAUUCUAACUAUGAGCAGUGUGUCAGACAACUGCAUUCCAACGAGGGAUAAAUUUCCGGAAUCCAAAAACGGUGCCACAUGAAACUAUUCUGUGUGAUACUAUGACAGUAGACCCAUGCCACUACACGUUUGUCCAAACCCACCAAGAGUGAACCCUCACGGACACUCUGGACCCUGGCUGAUGAUGUGUCACUGCAAGUUCAUUAGUUAUGUCCAAUGUCCCACUCUAGUCGGGGAUGCUGAUAGUGGGGGUGGAGGGAUACUGGAACUUUCUGUCCUUUAAGCUCAAUUUCACUGUGAGCCUAAAACGCUUCUAAAGAAUAAAGAAAGGUAGGAAGGGAGGAAGGUAGGGAUGGAGAGAAAGGAAGGGAGGGAGGGAGGGAGGGAAGGAAAGGAAGGAAAGGAAGGAAGGCAAGCAAGCAGAAAAACAAAAGAGGCAAAGAGAGUAAGUGUUGAGAGCCAGUUCCUGACCAUAUUAUUUCAGCCACGCCUAAAACAAGACCUGACUGUGGAUGUUUUUGAACAUUGAGCCAACAAAUUACUGUUUUCCAUUAAAAAAAAAAAUAGUACUGCCAAUAAAGAGAGAAAAAAAUUUUU